rnacentral:rRNA from 1 species
ACGAACGCUGGCGGCGUGCUUAACACAUGCCAGUCGCACGGAAAGGCCCUGCUUUUGUGGGGUGCUCGAGUGGCGAACGGGUGAGUAACACGUGAGUAACCUGCCCUUGACUUUGGGAUAACUUCAGGAAACUGGGGCUAAUACCGGAUAGGAGCUCCUGCUGCAUGGUGGGGGUUGGAAAGUUUCGGCGGUUGGGGAUGGACUCGCGGCUUAUCGGCUUGUUGGUGGGGUAGUGGCUUACCAAGGCUUUGACGGGUAGCCGGCCUGAGAGGGUGACCGGCCACAUUGGGACUGAGAUACGGCCCAGACUCCUACGGGAGGCAGCAGUGGGGAAUAUUGCACAAUGGGCGGAAGCCUGAUGCAGCAACGCCGCGUGCGGGAUGACGGCCUUCGGGUUGUAAACCGCUUUCGCCUGUGACGAAGCGUGAGUGACGGUAAUGGGUAAAGAAGCACCGGCUAACUACGUG